rnacentral:rRNA from 1 species
CCUACGGGUGGCAGCAGUGGGGAAUAUUGGGCAAUGGACGCAAGUCUGACCCAGCAACGCCGCGUGCAGGAAGAAGGCUUUCUGGUUGUAAACUUCUUUUAAGGGGGAAGAGCAGAAGACGAUACGCCUUGAAUAAGCCACGGCUAACUAAGUGCCAGCAGCCGCGGUAGUACGUAGGUGGCAAGCGUUGUCCGGAUUUACUGGGUGUAAAGGGCGUGCAGCCGGAGAGACAAGUCAGAUGUGAAAUCCAAGGGCUCAACCCGUGAACUGCAUUUGAAACUGUUUCCCUUGAGUGUCGGAGAGGUAAUCGGAAUGCCUUGUGUAGCGGUGAAAUGCGUAGAGAUAAUGCAGAACACCAGUGGCGAAGGCGGAUUACUGGACGAUAACUGACGGUGAGGCGCGAAAGCGUGGGGAGCAAACAGGAUUAGAUACCCUUGUAGUC